rnacentral:rRNA from 1 species
AACGAACGCUGGCGGCAGGCCUAACACAUGCAAGUCGAACGCACCUUUCGGGGUGAGUGGCAGACGGGUGAGUAACGCGUGGGAAUCUACCCUUCUCUACGGGAUAGCUCCGGGAAACAGGAAUUAAUACCGUCUACGACCUGAGGGAGAAAGAUUGAUCGGGGAAGGAUGAGCCGGCGUGGGAUUAGCUAGUUGGUGGGGUAAAGGCCUACCAAGGCGACGAUACAUAGCUGGGCUAAGAGGAUGGUCAGCCACAUUGGGACGGAGACACGGCCCGGACUCCUGCAGGAUGGGGGAAAGGAGGAUAUUGGACAGUCGACGCAGGGCAGAAGCUGCCAGGCCGCGAAAGUGAUGAAAGCUCUAGGGUAGGAAAGUAAGUUAAGAGGUUACGAUUAUGACGUUACCCACAGAAGAAGCCCCGGCUAACUUCGUG